rnacentral:tRNA from 1 species
GCUCAGUAGGUUAAGUGGUUAAACGUCUGACUUCAGCUCAGGUCAUGAUCUCACAGCUCGUGAGUUCAAGCCCCAUGUUGGGCU